rnacentral:rRNA from 1 species
UACGGAGGGUGCGAGCGUUGUUCGGAAUCACUGGGCAUAAAGGGCGCGUAGGCGGCUUAUCAAGUCAGGGGUGAAAUCCGGCAGCUCAACUGUCGAAGUGCCCUUGAUACUGACGAGCUCGAGGGAGGUAGGGGUGUGUGGAACUUCCGGUGGAGCGGUGAAAUGCGUUGAUAUCGGAAGGAACGCCGGUGGCGAAAGCGACACACUGGACCUCUUCUGACGCUGAGGCGCGAAAGCCAGGGGAGCAAACGGG